rnacentral:rRNA from 1 species
UACGGAGGGGGCUAGCGUUGUUCGGAAUUACUGGGCGUAAAGCGCGCGUAGGCGGACCUGCAAGUCGGGGGUGAAAGCCCGAGGCUCAACCUCGGAACUGCCUUCGAUACUGCGGGUCUCGAGUCCGGGAGAGGUGAGUGGAAUUCCUAGUGUAGAGGUGAAAUUCGUAGAUAUUAGGAAGAACACCAGUGGCGAAGGCGGCUCACUGGCCCGGUACUGACGAUGAGGCGCGAAAGCGUGGGGAGCGAACAGG